AAUCAACGCUGGCGGCGUGCCUCAGACAUGCAAGUCGAACGAUUAAAGCACUCUUCGGGGAGUGUAUAGAGUGGCGCACGGGUGAGUAACACGUAAGUAAUCUACCUUCGAGUGGGGAAUAACGUCCGGAAACGGACGCUAAUACCGCAUAAUGCAGCGGCAUCGCAAGAUGACAGUCGUUAAAGAUUUAUCGCUUGAAGAGGAGCUUGCGGCAGAUUAGCUAGUUGGUAAGGUAAUGGCUUACCAAGGCUACGAUCUGUAACCGGUCUAAGAGGACGGUCGGUCACACUGACACUGAAUAACGGGUCAGACUCCUACGGGAGGCAGCAGUCGGGAAUUUUGGGCAAUGGGCGAAAGCUUGACCCAGCAACGCCGCGUGAAGGAUGAAGUAUUUCGGUAUGUAGACUUCGAAAGAAUAGGAAGAAUAAAUGACGGUACUAUUUAUAAGGUCCGGCUAACUACGUGCCAGCCGCCGCGGUAAUAC
rnacentral:rRNA from 1 species